rnacentral:rRNA from 1 species
UACGUAGGGUGCAAGCGUUGUCCGGAAUUAUUGGGCGUAAAGAGCUUGUAGGCGGUUUGUCGCGUCUGCUGUGAAAUUCCAGGGCUUAACCCUGGGCUUGCAGUGGGUACGGGCAGACUAGAGUGUGGUAGGGGAGACUGGAAUUCCUGGUGUAGCGGUGAAAUGCGCAGAUAUCAGGAGGAACACCGAUGGCGAAGGCAGGUCUCUGGGCCACUACUGACGCUGAGAAGCGAAAGCAUGGGGAGCGAACAGG